CUAUACCUACGGGGGGCAGCAGUCGAGAAUCAUUCACAAUGGGGGAAACCCUGAUGGUGCGACGCCGCGUGGGGGAAUGAAGGUCUUCGGAUUGUAAACCCCUGUCAUGUGGGAGCAAAUUAAAAAGAUAGUACCACAAGAGGAAGAGACGGCUAACACUGUGCCAGCAGCCGCGGGAAUACAGAGGUCUCAAGCGGUGUUCGGAAUCACUGGGCGUAAAGCGUGCGUAGGCUGUUUCGCAAGUCGUGUGUGACAGGCGCGGGCUCAACCCGCGGACGGCAC
rnacentral:rRNA from 1 species